rnacentral:rRNA from 1 species
GAUGAACGCUAGCGGCAGGCCUAAUACAUGCAAGUCGGACGGGAUUCAGGAGCUUGCUUCUGAUGAGAGUGGCGCACGGGUGCGUAACACGUAUGUAACCUACCUUUAUCAGGGGGAUAGCCUCUCGAAAGAGAGAUUAAGCCCGCAUAAAAUCACAGCACAGCAUUGUGUAAUGAUCAAAUAUUUAUAGGAUAAAGAUGGGCAUGCGGAACAUUAGCUAGAUGGCGGGGUAACGGCCCACCAUGGCGACGAUGUUUAGGGGAUCUGAGAGGAUGGCCCCCCACACUGGUACUGAGACACGGACCAGACUCCUACGGGAGGCAGCAGUAAGGAAUAUUGGUCAAUGGGCGGAAGCCUGAACCAGCCAUGCCGCGUGCAGGAAGACGGCCCUACGGGUUGUAAACUGCUUUUAUACGGGAAUAAACCCAGAUACGUGUAUCUGGCUGAAUGUACUGUAAGAAUAAGGAUUGGCUAACCCCGUG